AAUGGGAUGCGAAUCUCGAAAGCCUGUCUCAGUUCGGAUUGGAGGCUGAAACCCGCCUCCAUGAAGUUGGAUUCGCUAGUAAUCGCGCAUCAGCCAUGGCGCGGUGAAUACGUUCCCGGGCCUUGUACACACCGCCCGUCAAGCCAUGGGAGCCGGGGGGUGCCUGAAGUUCGUGACCGCAAGGAGCGACCUAGGGCAAAACUGGUGACUGGGGCUAAGUCGUAACAAGGUAAC
rnacentral:rRNA from 1 species